GAGGAGGCUGAGGAGCGUCUUUGCUCCCAGCUGGGUGAACUUGAGGCCGAGGCUGUCGAUCAGGCUCGGACCUACAGGACACAUGUCGUCCAGUUGAUGGAUCAACUCUCUUUGGCACAAAAACUUCUCGAAUCAGCUUCCAUUACCGUCCCUAAUUCCCAAUGAUCGUAGGGGAAAUUGGAAGAGCAUAAUCCACCGAAAGCAUUGGCUGUUGCUUUUCAGUUUUCUGGUGUGUGGGUGUUUUAUUUCUUCAUCACUGAUUUUUUUCUUUUUCCGAUUGACAUAGAUAGCCUUUUUCUGGAAAAUUCAUUUGAUGUUUGAUAUAUGGCUGUUGUGUAUUGUUGGCGGCCGGUUUUUAUUGUGAGGUUGGUUUCUGGCUCCAUGUAAAUAACAAGAUCGAUGUAACAUUAGGAACUAAGAAUUGUGGAGUAUAAUGACCUUUUUCUUCUUCUCUUCUUUUUUAGAGGUGUAAUCUGGGGAAUUUUGUGUACUUUUAGAUUAUGUUAUUUUCUCUUGAUCUAUUUUCUUCCAUUCUCUUCUCCUCAAUUCCGCGAUAAUGGUAAACCUUAUGCCCGGGCGGAAAAGGUCUGUAUUGCCAAAACAAUAAUUUCACCUCUUAAUUGGUGUGAGUUAUGAAACGAAAGGCAGUAAAUAGCGAUGGUGCUCGUUAUAUACUAUCGCAUUGUUGCUAUUGAUUUCAAUGGAAAGCUAUAUGGAAUUUUGGUAACGGGAAAGAGCAAUUCCUGGCCCUUCUUGGCGAGUAGGGGUGUCAAACGGGCGGGUUGGGUCGGUUCGGAUAUGAGCGGGUCAAAACGGAUAAAUUAUCCGAACCGACCCAACAGAUAGAAAACAUGUUUAUCUAGCGGAUAAUAUGGAUAUUCAUAUUAUAUAUGGCUUCUUAGUGAGAGAAUUCCUAGUCUUCCAAACUUGAGGAAUAGGUUUUUCAAAUGUAAAAUUUAAACACAUUAGUUAUCCAUUGGUUAUCCAUUUGGUUAAUCAUUUUCUAAGUGAAUAAUAUGGUUCUUUAUCCAUAUUCAAUCCGUUUUUAAAUGGUUCAUUAUCUAAUCCAUUUUUGUAUGGAUAACUGUUUUUUUUAAACUAUUUUGCUACCUCUAUUGGCGAGCUUGAAUAUUAGGAAGUUGUCAAAAGCUUUCUCCCUCUAUAGUGUUUCGCAAGUUAGUUACUUUACAAAAGGGAUUUAAGUUACUUAGUUACCACAUUUAUUUUAUGUUGCCAAUUAAGUUUAUUAUAUAGAAUUACCUGCAGCACAGUUAUGUUGUCUUUUAAAUGCGCUGAUUAUGCAAAUAUAUUUUUAUACCAUCAAUAUAUAAAACUUAAAAUCGAACAAAAGAAGAUGACACAGAUGUAAUAAGAACUCGACAAGCUCUGCUUAAGAACAUCAUUUUCUUUUCACUAAUUAAAUGACUAUGAUUCUGUCUGGUCUACUCUAGCUAGUUGCAUGCCUAAUUAUUGCUUGGCAUUGAAGUCCCUUUGCUAAUCCUUUUUUACCAUACUUAUCAGUUGGAGGUAAAGGUGGUUUAGUGGGCAUUUGGACAUAAAGAAUUGUAAAAUUUCAAAAAAAAAAAAAUUUAAGUGAAAAUGGUAUUUGAAAAUUAGAGUUGUGUUUAGACAUAAAUAUAAUUUUGGGUUGUUUUUGAAGUUUUGUGAGCGAUCUGAGUAAAAAUUUUGAAAAACAGCUUUUUAGAGUUUUUCAAAUUUUUGAAAAAAUUCCAAAAUUCAUCUUCAAGUGAAAAUUGGAAAUUUAAAGUGAAAAAAUUCUUAUGCGGCUCUUAAUCAACAGAUAGGAUCUAGUAACUGCUUAAGAUAAAAACCCUUAAAAUGUUAUUGUUAAAGUGUACCUUAGUAAAUCUUAAUAGAUCGAGAGAACAAUUGGUUAUUUUCUGUUUUAGUUCAUCAAUAGGACAAAGGGGGAACAAACAAUGUUUUGGUUCGAAUGAUAGUGCAUUUUUCCAGUUUUAAUCCUCGUCUUCUUCAACUUAAUUAACAUUUAAUUUGACGUUUGAUUGAAGAAGAUGUGUGAUUUAUGUCCCUAAGCUAACAGACCUUAGCUUCUUAUUUUUAAGAGCAAGAAGGGGUAUUUCUGUGAUUUGAGAAAGCCAAGAGACGGGGCAAGAAUUGAAAUGCAACCGAGCUAGAGUUCCAAAAUUUUGGUCUGUUGUUUUAAUUUUUAUUUACACGGUCUAAAUUUUCUUCAACUUAGUGCCAAAUCCAUUUCUUUGCAAAAUAUUAGCAAGAAGUCGUCCAAAGGACAUCUAAAAUGCCGACUAUGACGAUGGCAACAUAAAGAGGUGGAUUUCAUAUAAAAUGAAAGUCAAAUACCUAGAAAUUCCUAUUUCUCUGUGUUCUUCUUUUGUUACUUCUUCUUCGUAACUGAAUAUAAAUAAAAUAAAUUGGAGGCAAUAGGGAAAAUAAAUCUGGAAAGGAAACGGCCGACCCUCAACAUCGCAAUUAAAAAAUGACAUAAAAUAACAGUCGACAAAUUUAAGUCAAGGGUGGAGCACUAGCAUUUUCUUAUUGUUUUCACAUCCAAUGACGCAACAAAACGUAGACAAGUCAUGUAACGCUGGAAAAAAAAACUUCCCUUCCUGCAUUCCAAAUAUUAAUUAUUUUGAAAAUUUUAAUUUAGUUUAGAAUAUUAAGGGCCCGUUUUGCCAUAAGAAAUUUUUUACUUUUUCGAAUUUUUUUUUUUUACUUUUUUUUCGAAAUUAGUGUUUGUCCAUGAAAAUUUCAAAUUUCACCUUGAAAUUGAAUUUUGAAAUUUUUCGAAAAUUUGAAAACUCCAAAAUUUGUUUUUCAAAAAAAUUUACUUCAAAUCACUCACAAAAAUUCAAAAACAGUUCUAGAUUGUAUUCAUGUCCAAACACAGCUCUAAUUUUCAAAUAUUAUUUUCACUUUAAAAAAAAUCACUUUUAUUCUGGAACUUUACAAUUCUUAUGUCCAAACCACCGCUAAGUAUUUAGAGAAAUAAGGAAUCAUAUUUACUCCACUUAUUUUUUCUAUUUUUUUAAGUGUUAACAGACUUUUUACGGGAGAGGAAAAAGAAAUUAAACAAAUUCUAAUGAUUUGGUAUUUGUAUGAAGAUCUUAUAAGACAGAUAAUAAGGAUAAAAUUAUCAUAUUACCUAAUAAGCCCUGAAUUAAUUGAUAGUUUAAAAUUAGAAACCCAAAAAAUUGUGUACAAACCAAAAGGCUUCGGGGUGCUAGAUACAUUGAGCGUAGACAUAUUCCUCUAACUCUGAUGUUUUAAUAUAUUUACGAUUUACGAAUAUGUAAAAAGCAUAUAAUAUGGGUAAGAUCGUAACAGGACCUAAUAAGCUCCUGAAUUAAUUAAUUAAUGGUUCAAAAAUUAGAAACCCAAAAAACAAAAACAAAAAUGAAGGACGCUAGAUACAUUGAACCUGGACAUACUCAUUAUGGGGCUAUAUAGGGCUCCUGUAACUUAACAAUAUUCCUCACAAACUAAUCACCAAUUUGCAUUUCUGUUUCUAUUGCCUCAGUUUUAAUAGUAGCAAUUUUUUUUAUAGUUCCACCAUUUUCUCAACUACUAUUCCUUUCAACAUGUUUUCGACAAUUGCUGUGCCUUCCAACCAAACAAAGCCUCAUCACCGUGACAUCUCCGCCGUGCCGGAGAGCGAGGUGCUCAGAAGAAGAAAUGAGGAGUUGGAGAAUGAAUUAAAAAAGAGCAUUGAGAGAGAAGAGAAAAUGAAGCAGGAAUUGCACAAAACAUGGGAAAGGCUGAGGGUGGCGGAGGAGGCUGAGGAGCGACUUUGCUCCCAGCUCGGUGAACUUGAGGCCGAGGCUGUAGAUCAGGCUCGGACUUACAGGACACGUGUCGUCCAGUUGAUGGAUCAACUCUCUCUGGCACAAAAACUUGUCGAAUCAGCUUCCGCUACCGCUCCCGAUUCCCAAUGAUUGUAGGAGAAAUUGGCAGCUCAUGCCUGUAACGUUAUGCACCUAAGCCUUGGCUAUUCGUUUUCAGUUUUCUGGUGUGUGGGUGUUUAAUUUCUUCAUCACUGAUUUUUUUUUAUUUUCCGAUUGACAUAGAUAGCCCUUUAUUUUAUUCAUUUGAUGUUUGAUAUAUGGCUGUUGUGUAUUGGUGGCGGCCUGUUUGUAUUGUGGGGUUGGUUUUUGGCUCCAUGUAAAUGACGAUAUGUAAGAUUAGGAACUCAGAUUUGUGGUGUAUUGUAUAUUGACCUUUUUUUCCUUUUUCUUUUUAUUUUUCCGAGGUGUUAUGGUGAUUUUUGUGUUCAUUUAGAUUAUGUUGUUUUCUCUUGAUCUAUAUUCUUCUAUAAUUUCUUUCAUGUCCUCAAUUCUGC
rnacentral:lncRNA from 1 species